rnacentral:rRNA from 1 species
GACGUAGGAUGCAAGCGUUGUCCGGAUUUAUUGGGCGUAAAGAGUUCGUAGGUGGUUUGUUAAGUCUGGUGUUAAAUACUGAAGCUCAACUUCGGAACUGCACUGGAUACUGGCAGACUUGAGUACGGUAGAGGCGAGCGGAAUUCCCAGUGUAGCGGUGAAAUGCGUAGAUAUUGGGAAGAACACCGGUGGCGCAAGCGGCUCGCUGGGCCGUUACUGACACUGAGGAACGAAAGCUAGGGGAGCAAAUGGG